GAGAAGCAAUACCGUGAGGUGGAGCAAAACUCAAAAAAUGAUCUCAGUUCGGACUGUAGGCUGCAACUCGCCUACACGAAGUUGGAAUUGCUAGUAAUCGUGGAUCAGCAUGCCACGGUGAAUACGUUCCCGGGUCUUGUACACACCGCCCGUCACACCAUGGGAGCUGGUAACACCCGAAGUCAGUAGUCUAACCGCAAGGAGGACGCUGCCGAAGGUGGGAUUAGCGACUGGGGUGAAGUCGUAACAAGGUAAC
rnacentral:rRNA from 1 species